rnacentral:rRNA from 1 species
AGCAGCCGCGGUAAUUCCAGCUCCAAUAGCGUAUAUUAAAGUUGUUGCAGUUAAAAAAGCUCGUAGUUGAACUUCGGGAUCAAUGGAUUGGUCAUGCCGAUGGUAUGUACUGGUCAUAUUGGUUCUCACCUUCUAAGGAACCAUAAUGUCAUUUAUUUGAUGUUGUGGGGAAUUAGGACUGUUACCUUGAAAAAAUUAGAGUGUUUAAAGCAGGCUAACGCUUGAAUACAUUAGCAUGGAAUAAUGAAAUAGGACGUCGCAUUCUAUUUUGUUGGUUUCUAGGAUCGAUGUAAUGAUUAAUAGGGAUAGUUGGGGGCAUUAGUAUUCAAUUGUCAGAGGUGAAAUUCUUGGAUUUAUUGAAGACUAACUACUGCGAAGCAUUCGCCAAGGAUGUUUUCAUUAAUCAGUGAACGAAGUUAGGGGAUCGGAAGACGAUCAGAUACCGUGUAGUCUUAACCAUAAACUACGCCGACGUACGGGAUCGGACGGGUCAACGUUUUAACUAACCCGGUUCGGCCGUCCGUUAACCGGG